AGCGAACGCUGGCGGCAGGCUUAACUCAUGCAAGUCGAACGGGCAUCUUCGGAUGUCAGUGGCAGACGGGUGAGUAACACGUGGGAACGUACCCUUCGGUUCGGAAUAACUCAGGGAAACUUGAGCUAAUACCGGAUACGCCCUUUUGGGGAAAGGUUUACUGCCGAAGGAUCGGCCCGCGUCUGAUUAGCUUGUUGGUGGGGUAACGGCCUACCAAGGCGACGAUCAGUAGCUGGUCUGAGAGGAUGAUCAGCCACACUGGGACUGAGACACGGCCCAGACUCCUACGGGAGGCAGCAGUGGGGAAUAUUGGACAAUGGGCGCAAGCCUGAUCCAGCCAUGCCGCGUGAGUGAUGAAGGCCUUAGGGUUGUAAAGCUCUUUUGUCCGGGACGAUAAUGACGGUACCGGAAGAAUAAGCCCCGGCUAACUUCGUG
rnacentral:rRNA from 1 species